rnacentral:lncRNA from 1 species
AACAUCUCUUACGAAGGACUUUGAAACGCAGUUUCUUCCCAGCCCUGAUUUUGCUGAAGUACAACUUGUGCCGUGCCGUGUAAUACAUUUCCCUAGAGGUGGAAGUCACAAUGGCCUGCCUGACUUCCUUAAGAGGAGACAGGCCACAGACCGUCUCGCUUCCAGCUCUUUGGCAAGGUGAGAAAGAAGUCGCUUUCCACAGGGCUCUUACAGCCUAUUGGGAACCUCUCAUACAAAAGCCUGAAAUGCAGUUUGUUUCCAGCCAUGAUUUCACUGCCUUGGAAUCUCUGCUCUAAGCCAUAUCCCACUUUACUCCAGAGAUGGAAGACACAAAGCGGUGAAUCAUUGCCGCCAAAGGAGACAAGCCACAAACGCUCUUCUUUCCAGCUCUUUGGGAAGGUAAGCAACAAAUAACUCUCCACUGUGCUCUUACAGCCUACCGGGAACGUCUCUCAGAAAGAUCUGUGAAACGCAGAUUCUUCCCAACCCUGAUCUCACUGAAGUAGAACUUCUUCUCUGCCGUGAUCUACAUUGCCCUAUAGGUGCAAGGCACAAAGUCCUGCCUCGUUUCCUUCAAGUGAAGACAGCCCACAUAGCGUCUUGCUUCCAGCACUUUGGGAAUCUAAGAAACAACUCGCUCUCCACAGUUCUCCUGCAGCCUACCGGGAAAAUCUCUUACAAAGGACAGGGAAACACAGUUGCUUUCCAGCCCUGAACUCGCUGAAGUAGAAAUUGUGCUCUGCCGUGUCCUACAUUGCUCUAGAGGUGGAAGUCACAAAGUGCUGAGUCAUUGCCUCCAAAGAAGUCAAGCCACAAACGGUCUUGCUUCCAGCGCUCGGAAGCUAAGAAAUAACUGCCUCUCAAUAGUGCUCUUACAUCUACCGGGAACAUCUCUCACAAAGAUCUGUGAAACGCAGUUUCUUCCCAGCCUUGAUCUUGCUGAAGUAGAACUUCUGCUCUGCCGUGUCCUACGUUGCCCUAGAGUUGCAAGGCAAAAUGUCCUGCAUUGUUUCCUAAAGGCAGGCAAACCAGAAAGCAUCUUGCUUCCAGCUGGUUUGGAAGGUAAGAAGCAACUCACUCUCCACAGUGCUCUUAGAGCCUACCAUGAACAUCUCUUACAAAGGCCUGUGAAACGC